rnacentral:rRNA from 1 species
AUUGAACGCUGGCGGCAUGCCUUACACAUGCAAGUCGAACGGCAGCACGGGAGCAAUCCUGGUGGCGAGUGGCGAACGGGUGAGUAAUAUAUCGGAACGUGCCCGGUCGUGGGGGAUAACGUAGCGAAAGCUACGCUAAUACCGCAUACGAUCUACGGAUGAAAGCGGGGGAUCGCAAGACCUCGCGCGAUUGGAGCGGCCGAUAUCAGAUUAGGUAGUUGGUGAGGUAAAGGCUCACCAAGCCGACGAUCUGUAGCUGGUCUGAGAGGACGACCAGCCACACUGGGACUGAGACACGGCCCAGAC